rnacentral:tRNA from 1 species
GGCGCUGGAGCCAGACGGUAAGGCAACUGCCUGCAAAGCAGUUUUACGUGGGUUCGACUCCCACCGGCGUCU